GUAGUGAUAGAGGAAAGCAAGCACUCUGCAGAGGACUUGGACCGGUUGGAGAAGUGGGAAGAGAAGUGGCAGAUGGAAUAUAGUGUAGCAAAGUGUGGAGUCAUGCAAUUUUGGUAGUAG